ACUAGACCGACGGGCUUCGAUCCCGUAAUAUUUUAGUUAACAACUAAAUACCUAAACCAGCGGGCUUCAGUCUA
rnacentral:tRNA from 1 species